AGCAGCCGCGGUAAUUCCAGCUCCAAUAGCGUAUAUUAAAGUUGUUGCAGUUAAAAAGCUCGUAGUUGAAUUUCGGGGUUCUACCGUUGGUCGGGCUUUGUCUGUACUGGCGUGUAGAAUUUCUACCUUCUGGGGAACUAUCAUGUUAUUAAUUUAGCGUGGUAGGAAACCAGGACCUUUACCUUGAAAAAAUUAGAGUGUUCAAAGCAGGCUUAUGUCUGAAUACAUUAGCAUGGAAUAAUAAAAUAGGACGGUGGUCCUGUUUUGUUGGUUUCUGAAUCACCGUAAUGAUUAAUAGGGAUAGUUGGGGGCAUUAGUAUUCAAUUGUCAGAGGUGAAAUUCUUGGAUUUAU
rnacentral:rRNA from 1 species